AUGCGACCCCUGGCGACUACGAGCAGGGACCACCGUGUUCGCGCGGCCUCCGGCGCGCCCACCACUCACGACGAUGACGUGCCGGGGUUGGGCGCCCUCGGCACACUCUCCGCGCAAGACAACAACUACCGCGAAAACGGCGACAACGUGUCAGGGCUGCCGCCCAUGCGCGCCCCCGGCGCACUCUCCGCACACGAUGACGAUGUACUGGAGCCGUCGAUCGUGCGCAGUCCCCAACGCACCCUCCGUCGCCGAGUCCGCCUGCAACACCAUCGUGCCGGGACUCGGCGGCACACAUCUUUGAACUCAGUGCACUCGAGUGCGCCCCCUUCUACUCAGUGGCGGAGCCAGAAAUGA
rnacentral:rRNA from 1 species